GAUGAACGCUGGCGGCGUGCCUAAUACAUGCAAGUCGAGCGAAUGGAUUGAGAGCUUGCUCUUAUGAAGUUAGCGGCGGACGGGUGAGUAACACGUGGGUAACCUGCCCAUAAGACUGGGAUGACUCCGGGAAACCGGGGCUAAUACCGGAUAACAUUUUGAACCGCAUGGUUCGAAAUUGAAAGGCGGCUUCGGCUGUCACUUAUGGAUGGACCCGCGUCGCAUUAGCUAGUUGGUGGGGUAACGGCUCACCAAGGCAACGAUGCGUAGCCGACCUGAGAGGGUGAUCGGCCACACUGGGACUGCGACCAGGCCCAGACUCCUACGGGAGGCAGCAGUAGGGAAUCUUCCGCAAUGGACGAAAGUCUGACGGAGCAACGCCGCGUGAGUGAUGAAGGCUUUCGGGUCGUAAAACUCUGUUGUUAGGGAAGAACAAGUGCUAGUUGAAUAAGCUGGCACCUUGACGGUACCUAACCAGAAAGCCACGGCUAACUACGUGCCAGCCGCCGCUGUAA
rnacentral:rRNA from 1 species